rnacentral:lncRNA from 1 species
GUCUGAUCCCGGGGGUGUCACCUCCCCCUGGCCCUGAUCCUGGGGGGAUGAAUCCCUUUGGGGUGUGAUCCCGGGGCUGUCACCUCCCCCUGGCCCAAAUCCUGGGGGGAUGAAUCCCUUUGGGGUCUGAUCCCGGGGGUGUCACCUCCCCCUGGCCCCGAUCCCGGGGGGAUGAAUCCCUUUGGGGUCUGAUCCCGGGGGUGUCACCUCCCCCUGGCCCAAAUCCCAGGGGUGUCACCUCCCCCUGGGACCCCGGAGCCACCGGCCCCGCGCCCCCGGCUCCGAUCCCGAUGUCCCCGGGGGUGACAGACGCUGCCAGAGCUGCCCCAGGCGCCCCUCGGGGUCCCUCAGUGUCCCCAGGGGUCCCUCGAGGCGCCCCCGGGGUGUCCCCACGGGCUGGGGGGGGACGCGGUGGCUCCGGAGCGGACGGCGGAGCGAAGGCGGCCAGGGCGGGUGAGUGUCCCCACGCUGUCCCCACGCUGUCCCCACCCUGUCCCCACCCUGUCCCCACCCUGUCCCCCUCCCUGCCACCCCUCCCUGUCCCCGCUGUCACCCACGGGGGCACCGGGGUCACCAACGGCACCCGUGUCCCCCUGGGACGGCGUGGGGUCCUGGGGGUGACAGGGGUGGCACUGCGGGGUUGGGGGGGGGUCCCUGAUGUCCCCUCUGUCCCCGGGGGUGGCACUGGAUGGGGGGGGGGGUCUCGGUGUCCCCUGGGGGUGUCGAGGACAACCCAAAGCAAGAAAAUGAGCCGCGAGCAAAGUCUCGAUUUGCACUUCAGCCUUCCCGACCUUAUCCUGCCCCUUCCCCAUUUCCUUCCCCUCCCCAUUUCCUUCCCCUCCCCAUUUCCUUCCCCUCCCCUCCCUUCCCUUCCCUUCCCUUCCCUUCCCUUCCCUUCCCUUCCCUUCCCUUCCCUUCCCUCCCCUCCCCUCCCCUCCCCUCCCUAUUUUUUCGUGCUUUUUUACCAAUUCCCCCUUUUUUUCCCUGAAUUUCCCCCAUUCCCGCUCCUCUCGUGCAAUUCCCAAGCGCCGCCUCCCCCAGUUCCGGGGGGGACCCCCCCCAAACCCCC